GGCCAUAUGGUGUAGUGGUUUAUCACCUCCAAAUAUAUGUUGGAUGGACCCGGGUUCGAAUCCUGGUGUGGCCA